UACUGCUCUUCCAACAAUAAACAACAGCAUCAAGAUGGAAGUUGGAAUUGAAGAUUGUUUGCACAUUGAAUUUGAAUACAACAAAAGCAAGUAUCAUCUGAAGGAUGUUAUCAUUGGCAAAAUAUACUUUCUUCUAGUAAGAAUUAAAAUAAAAAAUAUGGAGCUCAAGAUUAGACGGCACUGGAUCAGGGCCUAAUACAUAUGUUGAGACUUUGACCCCUGCAAAAUUUGAGUUGAUGGAUGGUGCUCCUGUAAGAGGUAUCUCAUAUUGAACUCAAUGUGUAAACUAUUCUGCGGUAUACAUCUGGAUGUUUUAUAAUGCCUCAUCCCUAUUUAGGAAUGCAUUGGGUCUUCUGGCUUGUCAGAAUACAAGUUUCUGCUGGCCACAGGGGCCAUCCAAUCUGCCUUGAGAUGCGUGUGUAUCCUUGAAUGCAGCUGUUCCAUGUUUGAAGGCAUGCAGUGUGCAUCUCAAGGCAAGAUGUGUGGCAUCUGUGGCUAAUGGUGACCCCCUAUUCUUGCUGGCUAUCAGAGACAACUUCUGGUCUGCAAUUCAUACAUUUAGCUACAUGAAUAUCUGCUGAAUCUUUCAUAACCUUGAAAUUCUACCAUUAAUGAUUCUAUUGUCUUUAGCUUUCUAACAACUUAUAUCUCACCAAUUAAUGGUUCAAGUGUCUACAUCUUUCUACCGACCUAGUAUCCGAUCACCUCUUAAAUAUGGAAUAGUUUAACUUAGCUCUCAGUAUACUUGGUUAUGGUAAUUCAUGAAUAUUGAGAAGACUCAGUAGUAUUUCUUGCAAGACGUAUAUGGCAGGCUUACAGAAAAUGCACGUCGUUAACACUUUUUGUGCUGUGUUUCUUUUCAGCUUACUGAACUGAAGUUAAUUGUAACAUUAAUUAUUAAUUGUUAGAGAGCAUUGGCACUAGCAUCUAAGCUCGGCUGAGUUUCUAGUUGUUGGACAUUGAUGAUCUAUUCCAUAGGAGUCUGGUGUAUUUAGCAUUUUGCAAGAUUCUCAAUAUCGGUACUGGGUGGUAUAUUAAAAUAUAUAAUAAAAAAAUUGCGCCUUCCUCCUAAAAGUCCAUCUCCUUUAACCAAUCUUAUGUUUUUGCUGUUUGUAUUGUAAGAUCUAUUGUCUCUUCAGAGACAUCUGAUAAAAAAAAAAAAGGUAUUGUAAGACCUACUGUAUUUACAAGCAAUUCCAUGUUUACAUAUUAUCCACAAACCUGGCAUUAUUUAUUGUUUUGAUGACUGAGAUACAUCAGCCCACAACCACAAGAUCAACGUUUAUAAUGGAACGAGAAGGAAAAAGCUGUUAUUAACCAACCAAAUUACCCAGAAAAACUAGGA